rnacentral:rRNA from 1 species
UGGGGAAUUUUGCACAAUGGGGUAAACCCUGAUGCAGCGACGCCGCGUGAUUUAGAAGGCCUUCGGGUUGUAAAAAUCUUUUCUAUGGGAAGAAAAUGACAGUACCAUAGGAAUAAGGACCGGCUAAUUACGUGCCAGCAGCCGCGGUAAUACGUAAGGUCCGAGCGUUGUCCGGAAUCAUUGGGCGUAAAGGGUACGUAGGCGGGUAAGCAAGUUAGAAGUGAAAUCCUAUAGCUCAACUAUAGUAAGCUUUUAAAACUGCUCAUCUUGAGGUAUGGAAGGGAAAGUGGAAUUCCUAGUGUAGCGGUGAAAUGCGCAGAUAUUAGGAGGAAUACCGGUGGCGAAGGCGACUUUCUGGCCAUAACCUGACGCUGAGGUACGAAAGCGUGGGUAGCAAACAGG